rnacentral:rRNA from 1 species
UUGGGAGGGGCCCGGAUUAGAUACCCUGGUAGUCCACGCCGUAAACGAUGUCAACUAGCCGUUGGGAGCCUUGAGCUCUUAKUGGCGCAGCUAACGCAUUAAGUUGACCGCCUGGGGAGUACGGCCGCAAGGUUAAAACUCAAAUGAAUUGACGGGGGCCCGCACAAGCGGKGGAGCAUGUGGUUUAAUUCRAAGCAACGCRAARAACCUUACCAGGCCUUGACAUCCAAUGAAUCUGCUAGAGAUAGCGGAGUGCCUUCGGGAACAUUGARACMGGUGCUGCAUGGYUGUCGUCASCUCGUGUCSUGAGAUGUUGGGUUAAGUCCCGUAUCAUGCUUAACCCUUGMCCUUAGUUACCA